GGUGUUGGAAUUUAAAGGAGUACAUUGGGUGGGUGCUACUUGUCUUUGUUGAACUCAGUAGUCUUCCAAAGUGACCAUAAAUUAACAAAGGACAAAGCCCUCAGAAUUUCCAAAAAUGGAUCUCUCCUUAGCAAGUUAACAUUCCCACGUUAAAUUUACCCGGCUCCAUAAAAAGGAAGGAAAGAUAACUUUCUCAUUUACUAUAACGUCCCCAGAACUUGAAUUGGUUUCCUAGGAACUGUGGACAAGUUACUGAAAUAGGAAAAGCUUGCAGACUCUAAUGGGUACAUUCCCUGAUAAAGAGACAGUAAUUAUAGCUGUUUUCUGCUCUCUCUCAAUAUAUAUAUAUAGAUGACUACAGAAUCCAAACUCAUAUUUAGCAUAAACCUGAAGCCUGUCAUUUUCCAGCAACUCUUUACUUUUCCUAGGAUGACAUGAUAUUGAUCUUCCAGACAGAACAACAACGAUCACAUUCCAUGACAAAGUGAUCACUAAUCCUAUGCUCUAAAAUUAACUAUUAUCACUUUAACUAUGAUAAUUUCCAUCGGUCUAAUGCAAGAUGGAAGGAGUAAGUUAUAACGUCAACAGUAGCUUUGGGUUAAUAUCAGAUGGAUGAAUGUCAUGGGAUUUGCAGCAAAUUUAUAAAUUACAAGAUGCAUUUUCUCUACUUAUUUUAUACCUUCUACCAUCUACAUUUCGCAUGUACACAUUCGUAAGCUUCUUUGCCUCGCUAACAUUAGGAAGGUUGAAUUUGCUUCAACUGCUGGACAACUUGCUUCAUGGUAGGCCUGGUUGAGACGGUCUCAACUGUACAUCUGACAGCCAAGUGCAGCAUUUCCACCAGAUCAUCUUGGGGACCUGAAUCCCAUAACCCUGCAUUGAAGACAUCUUCUGCUUGGCCAUGUCGCAACAGCAUGCAGGCCCAAGAAACAAUAUUGAAACCAUUUUCAUGUGAAGAAAACGAUGGAUCCAAUGCUUUCUUAUCUGAUAUCAGCUCAAGCAGAACCACGCCAUAGCUAUAAACAUCAGCCUUCUCGGACACACGACAGGUCAUAGCAUAUUCUGGUGCAACGUAUCCAAAUGUUCCGGCCACACCAGUUGUUGCAUGGGUUUCAGAAGUUCCCAAGAGCCUAGAUAACCCAAAGUCAGAUAAAUACGCGUUCAAGUCAUUAUCCAACAAUAUGUUACUAGGCUUGACAUCGCGGUGUAGAACGCGAGGAGCACAUUGAUGAUGGAGAUAAGAAAGUGCAGAGGCUAUAUCUAAAGCAAUCUUGUGGAGAACCUUCCAAUUAACAGCUAUUGGUGAUCUUUCCUUGAUAAAAUCUUCCAGAUUACCUCCAGGCAAAUAAUUAUAUAUGAGAAACAUCUCAGUUUCAUUGGCAUGGUACCCUAUUAAAGUUACAAGAUUAGGGUGCCUCAUUCUACUGAGGGCCUUUAUCUCAGCAUGGAAUUGUUGAACGCCUUGAAUCCUUCCAACAGCAAGCUUCUUUAUAGCCACUAGUGUCCCUGGAGAAAUUUCAGCCUUGUAAGUGGCACCAAAGCCUCCACUCCCGAUACAAUUGCUUGCAUUGAAGUUCCCAGUUGCUUCUACUAUGUUCUCGUAUAACAACGGAAUCCCAAUGUUAAAAAAAACAGUAAUUUCGUUUCGUUCAGAGACCUGAACCCUGGUGUUUGGUACCCAUUUUUUUUGUGUAGAAGAACAGAAUAACUAGAACUAGAAGUAUAGAAACAACAGCUGAUGCAGAUGCUAUAGAUGCAAUCUCAAUUGGCCUAAGACCAGUACUCUCACUUUUGGUUUCUGAUGAAGAAUUUAAAUUACUUGGUUGAUCCAUAUUGCUUCCUGUUGGAUCUGGAGAUGAUGCAGAAAGAGAGAAUGUGUCACAAGAGUUGGGAAAAGGAUUUCCAUGGGCGUUGCUACAAUUCAUGACCCUUCUAUGCAAGGGCAAUGGCUCUGAUGGACCAUUUGAAGACAGUGAUCUCACAUUAUUGAAACCAGAUGGGAUCUGCGCUGAGAGUUUGCUGUUGUCAAGCAGCAAAGAAGUAAGAUUUUCCAAUUUCACAGUAUUCUGUGGAAUUUUUCCAGAGAGAGAAUUUGGAGAAAUUUCUAACUCUUGAAGAGAAUCCAACUGCCCCAAACCAGAAGGGAUGGCACCAAUCAGGUUGUUACCAGCCAAGGAGAUGUGCUUUAGGUACUUUAACCUAUAGAGACUAGCUGGGAUUUGACCCUGCAGUUUGUUCCCACUCAAGUUAAGGGCAACGAGAAAUUUCAAAUCCCCAAUGCUUUGGGGUAUUGAACCCGCAAUUUGAUUCUCAGAGGCAUCCAAAAAUCUUAGAGAUCCACACAUUGAACCAAUAUUCAAUGGAAUAAGACCAGAUAUCUGAUUUUUGCUAACAUUAAUAAUCAUUCCAUGCAAUUUAUCACACUUCCCAAAUAAGAUUCCAGGAAAUGAUCCAUUAAGCUUGUUUCUACUGGCAAGAAAAGCAUAAUCAGUCUGCUCUGCUAAUCUCUCUGGUGCAAUUGGCAGCCAACGAAUUGGACCAGUGAAAUUGUUUCCACCAUAGUUGUGAAUCACUGCCAAAGUGGCAGCAGAGAACGGCAAAUGGUUUGCAAGGCGAGUUUUGUAUAGUAAGAAUGACACGUACCCACGUGACGGAUCACGGCCUUCACCAAGAUCUGAAUUUGAGGAGGGUACACGUGGGCAAACAUCGUAAUUAAAUCUAGGUAUGGAGCUGGACAUGAGGUUCUGACUAACAUCAAAGAAAGUCAUACAAGGAACUGGAAGUUUCUCGUCGAGCUGCCCACUUAGCAUGUUUGAACUCAAAUCCAGGUAAUACAACUUCUUGCAUCUCCCAAAAAUUCCAUUUAUUUCACCACCAAAACCAUUAUGUGCUAAGUUCACCAUCUCCAAGCUCUCACAGCCACCCCAAUUGCUUGGAAGCUUCCCUUCGAAAGUUACCCUCGGUGCCCAAAGCACUCUUAGCUUGGGAAGGGUUGUAAUCUCAGUAGGAAUAGACCCUCGAAAAUGAUUGUACUCAUGAUUAGACACAGAUGGCAAACUAGCCAACAUCUCUCUGCUCUUAUUUUUGUCAUUCGGCCACGUUUCAAAAAGGUUCGAAAGAACAAGAACAGACAAUUCAGCACAAUUACCAAGCUCAGCAGGGAUCACACCAUUAAUGAGAUUCCUUGAAAUGUCUAAAACUUCAAGCCUUCCAAGCUGGCCAAGCUCACGAGGAAUCUCUCCAUUCAACUUAUUCGAAAACAACAAAAGCGUCCUCAACUGCCGACAAUUUCCCAAAGUAUCAGGAAUCCCACCAAACAGGGAAUUUCCAGACACAUCAAGAUGCUGAAGAUACUGGCAUUUCCUUCCUAAAACAGCCGGAACAGUCCCAUUCAGCUCAUUAUAAGCCAAAUAAAGCCCUCUCAGCCUAAAGAAACUACCAACAAACCUGGGGAUUGACCCCUUCAACUUGUUACCAGCUAAAUUCAAAAACUCUAAACCAGCACAUUUUGAUAGAGAAAUGGGAAUCUCCCCAUCAAGUCUAUUAAACCCAAGAUUCAAAACUCUCAAUUUCCUUAACCCAACAAAUCCACAAGGCAAUUUUCCGGUAAACAAAUUCCCUUCAAGAUCAAGCACUUCCAAAUGCUCUAAACCCCAUAUUUCUAAGGGAAUUUCACCACUAAGUUCAUUAUAAGGCAACGAUAAAACUCUAAGCUGACUAAGUUUUCCAAUCAACGGGGAUAACUUCCCCUCUAACUUUCCGACACGAUUAGAACAAUUUCUCCUGAUUCCAAACCUACGAAAAGGAAACUUUAAAGACUCGGAACAAGAAAGAGCCUGAGAAUUACCUUCAAAACCAUCAUCACCGCCGGUAAUACUGAUGGAGACAACCCUGGAUUUGAGGUUGCAUGUGACACCAAGCCACGAACAAUGAUGAGAAUUGCUAGAGUUCCAGCUGGAGAGAAUCCCAUGAGGAUCAGAAACAAAGGACUUGAAUUCCAGCAGAACUGAUUUGUCAGAAACCACUCCCCCAUAAACAGAAGAGCAAAAACAGAGCAGAAAGAAGAUGAGGAUCACUGGGAACGAAUUUCUUUUCAUUUCCUCAAGAAAUGGCGACAAAGAAGGAAACCCAGUAGAGUACACAACCCUUCCUCGUCUACCAAGAAAGCAAGAAAUAGAAAGAGUCUAUCUUGGCAGCAGGAAAACGAUAAAAAAGAGUUUUUUUGGGGUUUCUGUGGAGGAAACAGCGUUUUCUUAAGUCUUUCUUCUCCUACUUCUCUCCAG
rnacentral:misc_RNA from 1 species